rnacentral:rRNA from 1 species
AACGAACGCUGGCGGCAGGCCUAACACAUGCAAGUCGAACGCCGUAGCAAUACGGAGUGGCAGACGGGUGAGUAACACGUGGGAACGUACCCUUCGGUUCGGAAUAACUCAGGGAAACUUGAGCUAAUACCGGAUACGUCCGAGAGGAGAAAGAUUUAUCGCCGAGGGAUCGGCCCGCGUCUGAUUAGCUUGUUGGUGAGGUAACGGCUCACCAAGGCGACGAUCAGUAGCUGGCUGAGAGGAUGAUCAGCCACAUUGGGACUGAGACACGGCCCAAACUCCUACGGGAGGCAGCAGUGGGGAAUAUUGGACAAUGGGCGCAAGCCUGAUCCAGCCAUGCCGCGUGAGUGAUGAAGGCCCUAGGGUUGUAAAGCUCUUUUACCCGGGAAGAUAAUGACUGUA